rnacentral:rRNA from 1 species
AGGACGAACGCUGGCGGCGUGCCUAACACAUGCAAGUCGAGCGAGAUCCAUCCAGUGGCAACACUGGUGAAGAUCUAGCGGCGAACGGGUGAGUAACACGUGAGAAACCUGCCCCGGAGACCGGGAUAACUCGAGGAAACUCGAGCUAAUACCGGAUACCCCCACCGAACCGCAUGAUUUGGUGAGGAAAUGCUCCGACGCUCCGGGAGGGUCUCGCGGCCUAUCAGCUGGUUGGUGAGGUAACGGCUCACCAAGGCUAAGACGGGUAGCUGGUCUGAGAGGACGAUCAGCCACACUGGGACUGAGACACGGCCCAGACUCCUACGGGAGGCAGCAGUGGGGAAUCUUGCGCAAUGGGCGAAAGCCUGACGCAGCAACGCCGCGUGGGGGAUGAAGGCUCUCGGGUUGUAAACCCCGUUUCAGGAGGGACGAAAUGACGGUACCUCCAGAAGAAGCCCGGCCAACUACGUGCCAGCAGCCGC